GACGAACGCUGGCGGCGUGCUUAACACAUGCAAGUCGAACGGAGGAUUUAUUUCGGUAAAUCCUUAGUGGCGAACGGGUGAGUAACGCGUGGGCAAUCUGCCCUUCAGAUGGGGACAACAUCCCGAAAGGGGUGCUAAUACCGAAUACGAUCACGCUGCCGCAUGGCGGUGUGAUGAAAGAUGGCCUCUAUUUAUAAGCUAUCGCUGAAGGAUGAGCCUGCGUCUGAUUAGCUAGUUGGUGGGGUAACGGCCUACCAAGGCGAUGAUCAGUAGCCGGUCUGAGCGGAUGAACGGCCACAUUGGGACUGAGACACGGCCCAAACUCCUACGGGAGGCAGCAGUGGGGAAUAUUCCGCAAUGGACGAAAGUCUGACGGAGCAACGCCGCGUGAGUGAUGAAGGUUUUCGGACUGUAAAGCUCUGUUGUUUAGGACGAAAGUGCCUGUUGCGAACAGUUACAGGUAUUGACGGUACUGAACGAGGAAGCCACGGCUAACUACGUGCCAGCAGCCGCGGUAA
rnacentral:rRNA from 1 species